UAGCUGGUGGUAGCAUGUAGUGUUGUGACUUCCAAUUUAUUCCAAGGAGAAUGGCAGUUUUCUUCUCUCCCUGUGGAAGAUCAAGAUCUUUUUUUAACUCUGUGGUGAAAAAUCUCAGUUCACUUAUAAUCCUCAGGCAGCAAAAAAUGCUUCUUCAGGAAAGGUUCCCCCCCUGGUCCACAUCAGCUCUGUGAUCCACCUUAUGACAUAGCGUACAAACAUUUGUGUCUGAACUUUCGGUUGGAGCAGCACACUCUGGUGUCAAAAGUAACUAGGCAGCAGGAGAGAAAAUGGGUCAAGUUAGUAAUUUACUGCUGAAGGAUUUUUUUUUUUCUCUGGGCCCAUAGUGAGCUGGAAGUGAAGAAGGUCUUAUGCAAAGUCCGAGCGUACAUAUUCAUGAAAACCUGUUUAUUGCAUGUUUGUUUAAUUUGUUUGAAUUGACUGAAUUAAAGGGCAAACGUGUGUCUGAAGAAACAAGGAAAAUAGGAUUGAAGGGAAUCUACUUUUU